rnacentral:rRNA from 1 species
UACAGAGGGUGCGAGCGUUGUCCGGAAUCACUGGGCGUAAAGGGCGCGUAGGCGGCCUGGCAAGUCUGUGGUGAAAGCUCGUGGCUCAACUGCGAGUCGGCCAUAGAUACUGCGAGGCUCGAGUCGACUAGAGGCAGAUGGAAUUCCGGGUGUAGCGGUGGAAUGCGUAGAGAUCCGGAAGAACACCGGUGGCGAAGGCGGUCUGCUGGGGUCGAACUGGA